rnacentral:lncRNA from 1 species
UAAAGCAUCGUCUUGAUGGCCUCCUUAACCACACCGUCAUACUCUCCAGCCUGCUAAACAAGCUAGCUAGCCGCCAUCACCAAUCCACAAGCUAGCAGUGAUGGGUUGUGCGGAGGAGAUCAAUCUGGCCGAACCGUGGCGGGAUCCUUCGGCGUGCGUGAACAAAAAUUUGGAGAGCCACCGGGACUAGUAGACUGGCGGGCAUCGCAUCGACCGCCGGGGUUGGCCACCACCGUGAGGCACCCGAUUGCUGCAACCUGUUCCGUCUCGUCGUCCAUUGAAGGUGAGCGCUAUCUGUUGUUUUCAUAGGCACCUGCGAUUAGUAGAUCCUGCUCGUAAGUAUGGAGGAAGGGGGGUUGAGGCCAUUUGGAUGGGCUACCCGGUGAAUCACCACAGCGAGGUUCAUCCUACGCCAGGGCGGCCUCGUUUGAUUCUCUAGAUGCCGGCAUCCCGGUUUAUCGGUAGCUUCUCUACUCGCAGUCUAGUUACACACAGCGCCGGUCACCUAUGGUCGCGCAUAGCCCUAAGCCUAGCUCCCCAUUAAUGCCGGAGCUUACCACCGAGGGAUGCAUGGCGUGACCAUGGCUGUGAGGCGAGAAGGAAGAAGACAUGUGUGCCGUUCGGUCCAUGUUCGACGGUCCUGAUUAUGGGAGCAAACCGUUUCAGAUUGAUUCAUUUGGGCCAUUAGAUGCGAGCUGAACGAUCCACGUUAGACCUCUGUUCAUAACCUUUGACCAUCGAUCCAAAUCUGAUGGCCUGGUUCGCUCACCCCACAGAUCUUGUGCGCCCACGGUCGUGUAGCCCAUCAUGUGGCCGGACUCUAUCAAUGAGAUCACAGCAUGUCGCCUAUAAUCCGUAAAAUAUUAUUUUACUCAAUAUAUUUGCGUUAUAGAUCCAUUUCAACCGUUACAAGUGCGUUAAGUUUGUAAUAAUAUCAUCUACGUGUUAGAAACAUUAUUUGUCAUGAAACGUUUUUGAUUGAUUGAUUGAUUAAUUAAUUAAUUAUUCAUCCGAUGAUUAUUAAAAUGGCGAUUUAGUUAAAACUAAGUCAUAGUUUAAAUUUGUGCUUUUAUAAAUACCUGUUAAUGUGGUUAAUGCCUACUCUAAUGUUUUUUAAACUUAUUUAGUAUAAACAUGAUAUAUUUUAGUGAUUCUCGUGUGUUGCGCUCGGCAUCGUCACGCUGUUCGCGCAUGUUGCCGCGCAUCGUUCACACGUAUUACGUGCUGUCCGAGCCUGAUAUUAAAUUGUUUCGUCAUAUUAUUCAUGUCAGAUAAUUAAUUACUUGCUUAGUUGUCAGCCAUUAAAAUAACAAUUCAAUCGACUCACAUUUAUAAUUUAAAUUUAUAUUUAUAAAUGCAUGUUAACAUGACUAUACCUGUCGGGUACCGUAAUUAGGGGUACCCCCAAUACUCCUAAGCAUGGCUGAAAGGCAUCUUCAAAACAGACCAUAAAGACUGACAAGCACGGUUCAAGUCAAGGCCUCGUCAACCAAGGGACGCGAUCUCGUCUCGCCCGAGCCCGGCCUCGGGCAAGAACAGUAGUCCCGGACGGAUUCACGCCUCACCCGAGGCCCCCCUCAGGCAGUGGGCGCACCCCCGGCUCGCCUGAGGCCAAGCUCGGGCAAACUUUGUCGUACAGCAACCUCGGCCAUAUCGCCUUACCACCGUCCGUAUCGCAUGCGCAUUUAAUGCGGGGAUCACCUGACAUCUUAUCCUGACACGCGCGACUUAGUUGGCAAGGUCGAAAUGACCGCAGUCACUUCGCCCCCUUUACUGAUCGUUCUGACAGGAAAACAACAUUAUUCACCCCGUUCCGACUACUGUGCCAACCACCAGGGUAAAGCUAACGACAGUAAGUCACGACCUCCCCUGAGUUCAGCCUCGGGCACAACAAGGAGAUCUGCCUCGCCCGACCCUAGGCCUCGGCCUCAGCCUCGGCCUCGGGAGAAGGUCUCCGCCUCGCCCGACCCCAGGCCUCAGCCUUAGCCUCGGUCUCGGGAGAAGGUCUCCGCCUCGCCCGACCCCAGGCCUCGGCCUCAGCCUCGGGAAGAGUCACAACCUCGCCCGACCUCAGGAGAAGUCACCGCCUCGCCCGACCUCGGCCUCGGACCGACUACGCCACAGGGGAUACAUCAUUACCCUACCCCUAGCUAGCUGCCUCAGGCUACGAAGGAACAAGACCGGUGUCCCAUAUAGAUUACUCCGGCAAUAGGUAAUGAUGGUUCCCUGCUUGCGUCCAUUGUUCUCAACUCUCUACGAAGGCAAAGAAACGUCAGCAGGACCCAGGACCGCACCGUCAGCUACGCUUCUACAGGGCUCAAGCACUUCUCCGCCUGCCACGUUAGCGCAUAGCUACACCCCCAUAUGUACAGCUGGAUCAUCUCCUUGUAUCUAUAAAAGGGGAUGUCCAGGGCCUUCCCGGGGGAAAAGGGGUGGACGCGAAGGAGGCUAACUCAGACGUCUCACUCCAAGGCCAAACCCUCUCUCCCGCGAAGCUUGUAACCCCUACUAAGAGCACCCCGGUGCAAGAUAAUAUAAGCCUCAUUGUGGCGGAACUGCCCGAAUUAUUCCAACUUAAGUGCCUCAGUCCCGCCUCAGAGGCUAGACCACACUUAAAUGGGAAUAACCCGCCAAUUCCUCGGAUCUAGUCCGACGAGGCCACUGACAGGAUCAAGUAUCACAAUCUCACUCGAUGGUGAGUCACAGAGCAAAUACAAUAAAGCAUAAAACCAUACAUUAAGGAGUAUUAAAUUAUUACAUCAUCAUCGGAGUUUUUGCAAAAGUAGCCGUCAUUGUUCGAAGUGCAGCG